rnacentral:rRNA from 1 species
GAUGAACGCUGGCGGCGUGCUUAACACAUGCAAGUCGAACGGAAAGGCCCAAGCUUGCUUGGGUACUCGAGUGGCGAACGGGUGAGUAACACGUGGGUGAUCUGCCCUGCACUUCGGGAUAAGCCUGGGAAACUGGGUCUAAUACCGGAUAGGACCACUUCGUAGUUGUUGUGGUGGAAAGUUUUUUCGGUGUGGGAUGAGCUCGCGGCCUAUCAGCUUGUUGGUGGGGUAAUGGCCUACCAAGGCGUCGACGGGUAGCCGGCCUGAGAGGGUGUACGGCCACAUUGGGACUGAGAUACGGCCCAGACUCCUACGGGAGGCAGCAGUGGGGAAUAUUGCACAAUGGGCGGAAGCCUGAUGCAGCGACGCCGCGUGGGGGAUGACGGCCUUCGGGGUGUAAACUCCUUUCGCCAAAGACGAAUUUAGGACGGUAUUUGGAGAAGAAGCACCGGCUAACUACGUGC